CUAGUGUAGCUUAAUCAAAGCAUAACACUGAAGA
rnacentral:tRNA from 1 species